GACGAACGCUGGGCGGCGGUGGAUUAGGCAUGCAAGUCGAACGGUAUCAUCCUUUCGGGGGUGAGAGAGUGGCGAACUGGUGAGUAACACGUAGGUUAUCUACCCUCAAGACGGGACAACCCAGGGAAACUUGGGCUAAUACCGGAUGUGAGCAACUUUAGUUGUUUGAAAGGUGGCGUAAGCUGUCGCUUGGGGAUGAGCCUGCGUCCUAUUAGUUAGUUGGUGAGGUAACGGCUCACCUAGGCAAUGAUAGGUAGGCGGCCUUAACGGGUGGUCGCCCACACUGGGAUUGAGAUACGGCCCAGACUCCUACGGGAGGCAGCAGUCGAGAAUAGUCUACAAUGGUCGGAAGACUGAUAGUGCGACGCCGCGUGAACGAUGAAUCCCUUCGGGGUGUAAAGUUCUUUUAUAUGUGAGCAGUGCUUCUUAUAUUAACAGUAUGGGGAGAGAGAUAUUAGCAUAUGAAUAAGCAACGGCUAACUCCGUG
rnacentral:rRNA from 1 species